CCAAUCGAACCCGGAGAUAGCUGGUUCUCCUCGAAAUAGCUUUAGGGCUAGCCUCAUGGAUCAUUGGUGGGGGUAGAGCACUGAAUGUGCGCGGGGGCCACAAAGCCUACCAAACGCUAUCAAACUACGAAUACCAUACAAUGCAGACCAUGGGAGUCAGUCCGCGAGAGAUAAGUUCCGCGGGCAAAAGGGGAACACCCCAGAUCAACCGCUAAGGUCCCCAAGUUCACGUUAAGUGGAGAAGGAUGUGGAAUUGCACAGACAACCAGGAUGUUGGCUCAGAAGCAGCCACACAUUUAAAGAGUGCGUAAUAGCUCACUGGUCGAGUGAUUGUGCGCCGAAGAUGUCCGGGGCUAAACGUGACACCGAAGCGAUGGGUGCAUCUGAAGAAGAUGCGCGGUAGAGGAGCAAUGUGCAGAGGCAGAAGCCGUAUCGAGAGGCACGGUGGACACUGCACAAGAGAGAAUGCCGGUAUGAGUAGCGAGAGGCAUGCGAGAAACAUGCCCGUCGAAAGCCCAAGGUUUCCUGGGGAAGGUUCAUCCGCCCAGGGUAAGUCGGGGCCUAAGCCGAGGACGGAAGUCGUAGGCGAUGGACAGCAGGUGUAGAUUCCUGCACUACCGAUGGAAUGAAGCAGUGACACAGAAGGAUAACUCGAGCAGGGUGAUGGUCAACCCUGUGCAAGCAUCGAGGUUGGGUUGUAGUGAAGUACGCAAUCCUACAAGCUGAGAUGUGAUGCGGACCGAAAUUUCAGUAGGGAAGCGAGUGAGUUCACGCUGGCGAGAAAAGCUGCUAGUAUAUCCAAAGGUACCCGUACCGGAAACCGACGCAGGUGGGCGAGGAGAGAAUCCUGAGACGAACGGGAGAACCCUUGUUAAGGAACUCGGCAAAAUGACCCCGUAACUUCGGGAUAAGGGGUGCCUGCGAGAGCAGGCCGCAGAGAAUAGUCACAAGCGACUGUUUAGCAAAAACACAGGUAUCUGCGAAAGCGAGAGCUGACGUAUAGGUGCUGACACCUGCCCGGUGCUGGAAGGUUAAGGGAACAUGUUAGAGCAAUCGAAGCAUCGAACCGAAGCCCCAGUAAACGGCGGCCGUAACUAUAACGGUCCUAAGGUAGCGAAAUUCCUUGUCGGGUAAGUUCCGACCCGCACGAAUGGUGUAACGACUUGUGAGCUGUCUCAACAGGGGGCCCGGUGAAAUUGAAGUAUGGGUGAAGAUGCCCAUUACCCGCGACUGGACGGAGAGACCCCGUAGAGCUUUACUGCAGCCUGAUAUUGAGUUUCGGUAACUGAUGCACAGGAUAGGUGGGAGUCUGAGAGACAUGGGUUUCGGCUCAUGUGGAGACGGUGUUGGGAUACCACUCUUCGGUUACUGAAAUUCUAACAUAGCUCUGUGAAACCAGAGGAUGGACAGUGUCAGGUGGACAGUUUGACUGGGGCGGUCGCCUCCGAAAGAGUAACGGAGGCGCCCAAAGGUACCCUCAGAAUGGAUGGAAACCAUUCGAAGAGCGCAAAGGCAGAAGGGUGCCUGACUGCGAGAUUGACAAAUCGAGCAGAGACGAAAGUCGGGCUUAGUGAUCCGGCGGUAUUGAGUGGAAAAGCCGUCGCUUAACGGAUAAAAGCUACCUCGGGGAUAACAGGCUGAUCUCCCCCAAGAGUCCACAUCGACGGGGAGGUUUGGCACCUCGAUGUCGGCUCGUCGCAUCCUGGGGCUGAAGCAGGUCCCAAGGGUUUGGCUGUUCGCCAAUUAAAGCGGCACGCGAGCUGGGUUCAGAACGUCGUGAGACAGUUCGGUCCCUAUCCAUCGUGGGCGUAGGAGUCAUGAGAGGAGCUGUUCCUAGUACGAGAGGACCGGAAUGGACGCACCACUGGUGCAACUGUUGUCGUGCCAACGGCAUAGCAGGGAAGCGAAGUGCGGAUGGGAUAAACGCUGAAGGCAUCUAAGCGUGAAGCCCACCUCAAGAAUAAGACUCCACAAUAGACCCCUGGAGGACUACCAGGUAGAUAGGUCAUCGGUGGAAGCGCCGUAAGGUGUGUAGCUUGAUGAUACUAAUCGGUCGAAAGCUUCAUUU
rnacentral:rRNA from 1 species